UAAAUGUGUUCAAAAAAUUUCACAGGAGAGAGAACAUUUCAGGUAAACUUUUAUAGAUAUGGGGGGGGUUUAAAACACUCAUAUAACACUAUAAAAAAGAAAUAAUACAGUGGAACCUCGGGUUGCAAAUGUGAUCCGUGCGGGAGGCACGUUCGCAACCCGCAACGGUCGCAACCCGCAGCGCCGCAUCUACACACGCACGGGUCGUGAUUCGGCUCUUCUGUGCAUGUGCAAAGCGCGAUUUAGUGGUUUUGCACAUGCGCGAGCGCCGAAACACGGAAGUAACCCUUUCCGAUACUUCUUUGUUUGGCGCGGUGCGCAACCCGAAAUCACAUAAGCUGAAGCAUCUGUAACCCGAGGUACCACUGUACUUGAAAAGUCAAGACUUCUCUCAAACAUUCGUGGGAGACGUGGUUUGUGGCGGGUGCUAGGAAUUGUUGCUCUGUGGGGGAAGAACUCUCCUCACAACUCUCAGGAUCCAUAACCACCAGCAGUUCCCAGAAUGGGGGGCGGGGGGAGCCAUGGCUUUUAAGAGUGCUUAAGAUGGAGGGGGUUAUCGCCAACUAGGUUUUUCACCCAGAGUAGACGAACUGGAAUUAAUGAAGCCGAAUUAGUCACCUUGAUUAUUUUAAUGGGUCUAGUCUGAAUACGACUUGUGUUGGAUACAAGGCACGAUGUGGAUGUGAAUAAGACCCAACAGAGUUUUUUAAAAAAAAAAAAUCGUAAAACAUUAUCUUCCUCAUAAAAUAAAAUCCUGCCAGAAUGAAAAGACCUUCAAGAAACAGUGGAGGAAUGGGUUUGUGAAGCAGGAUGCUUUGUAAUCUGCUUGCAGCCAUUGAUGACCCGUCCUGUCUUGUCAGAGCAUGAACUUGGGACCUUCUGCAUUCAAAGCAGGUGUCCCGCUACUGAGCUAUUGCCCUUUCCUUAGGAACAUAGGAAGCUGCCUUAUAGCCAGUCAGUCCUUUGGUGCAGCUAGCUCAGUGCUGUCCCCUCAGAUGGUCAGCAGCUCUCCAGCAUUUCAGACAGGGAGUCUCUCGCAGCCUUCUCUGGCAUUGCCAGAGAUUGCACACGGGACCUUCUGUCCAUACGGCGCAUGCUCUCUACCAUUAAGCUAGGCUCCUCCCACUCACGGACAUGUCAGUCCAUACAGACUCCAGAUUGCCAUCUAAAGUCAACAUCAAGUUCCUAGUCCACAUGAUGAGCUGGAAAAAAUUCCUGCAUCGGACCAGAUGACCCGCGUGGUUCCUCCCAACUCUACAAUUCUAUGCUCAGAGACACCACUUGGCCCACUUCAGUAAAUUCUGGAUGCUUUCGGAAGCUGCCUUCUCCUAAGUCAGAGCUGAGGUCUAUCUAGUUCAGUGCUGCCCACACUGACUGGAAGCAGCUCUCCAGGGUUUCAGACAGGGAGUCUAUUCCAGCCCUGCCUUGAGGUGCCGGGGACCAGAUCUGAAGAUGCAGAUCAGAUGCUCUUGCAUCUAUAGCUCUUUUCCUGAAACCACAGCCACCCCCUUUCGUUAGCUCGAUUUAGAUGUUCUUUUUUUUAAGAAAGAGAGAGAGAUCUUUAAACUGCCUGUUCACCUCAUCUUGCUCAUUCUACUAAGCCUCUAUGUACCCACCCCUAAAAAAAUAAAAAUAAAAAGCAGCAGCAGCCCCGGCAGGAUUUCUCGAGUCAUCUCUCCUUGUGUGUAAACAGUGAGAUGGAGCUUACAAAGCAAACACUGCCUGGAAAGGCUUGGGGGUGAUUAACAUUUGUGUGGCUGCUCCGUGAUUUCCAUAAGCUUACAGUCAAUCCAGCCGGGACAAGGCAAGAUAAAUAUUUUGAAAAGGCAGCCUCCCACCCCCCACCCUGGCUUUCGUAAAUCGAGCCCAAGGAGUGGUGCAGCUCUGACUUCCAUCUUCCUUUCUUUUUUUUUUUUAAAUGAUAUUUAUUAAAGUUUCACAAGAAAAGAAUCACUUUAAUAACAAAGAAAAAUUUAAGAAUAAAAAGAAAAAUACACAAUACAAAAUACAAAAAGAAAAAAGAAAAAACAGUUAAAAACAAUUCCGUCUUUUCAUCACUUCUUUUACGUUUACUUGUUUCCUGACUUCCAUCUUCCUUUCUUGCGCCUCGUUCUGCACAUUUCACUCUGCAGUGAUGGUAAGAGAGGGAAAAAGCUGUUUUUAGAGCAGAUUCACCACCCGCACCUUAAGGAUGAGGCUUAUCAACGGGUGCUAACCAGUCCCAGGGACAGUAUACAACAUGAGUAAGCAAACUAAGGCCUGGGGGCCGGAUCCGGCCCAAUCGCCUUCUAAAUCUGGCCCGCGGAUGGUCCGGGAAUCAGCGUGUUUUUACAUGAGUAGAAUGUGCCCUUUUAUUUAAAAUGCAUUUCUGGGUUAUUUGUGGGGCCUGCCUGGUGUUUUUAUUUGAGUAUAAUGUGUCCUUUUAUUUAAAAUGCAUCUCUGGGUUAUUUGUGGGGCAUAGGAAUUUGUUAAUUUACAGUGGUACCUCAGGUUAAGUACUUAAUUCGUUCCGGAGGUCUGUUCUUAACCUGAAACUGUUCUUAACCUGAAUCACCACUUUAGAUAAUGGGGCCUCCUGCUGCCACCGCGCCGCCAGAGCACGAUUUCUGUUCUCAUCCUGAAGCAAAGUUCUUAACCUGAAGCACUAUUUCUGGGUUAGCGGAGUCUGUAACCUGAAGCGUAUGUAACCUGAAGCGUAUGUAACCCGAGGUACCACUAUAUUUAUUUUUGAAAAUAUAGUCCGGCCCCCCACAAGGUCUGAGGGACAGUGGACCAGCCCCCUGCUGAAAAAGUUUGCCAAUCCCUGGUAUACAACGUCCAGUAUUUUAUUUACUUCUUUGUUGCAUUUAUAUGGCACCUUUUCCUGAAGGUGGCCUAGGUAGUUCUCCCCCUCCUCGAUUAAUCCUCACAACAACCCUGUGAGAUAGGUUUGGCUGAGAGGCAGCAAUUGGCCCAAGGUCACCCAAUGAGCUUCACAGCCAAGGAAGGAUUUGAACCCUGGUCUCCCAGGUCCUUAUCCGACACUCUUUUCCACGACACCAACAUUGAUGCGUUCCAGUUGUUGGGCAUCCCAAGUAGGGAUGCACAAAUCUGUCCAUUUUGGGUUCUCCCGGUUCCUCAUUUUUCCUGUCUUAAGUUCAGUUCCCCACAUGUUCACACUGGUUUGCAAUUUACUUAUUUUAAAGAUUUUUUUUUAUUACUUUCAUUCAACAGCAGAAGCCUAACCGUGCAAAGUUAUUUCAGUUAUGAGCUUGUGUAAAGCAGAGUAUUAUUAUUAUAAUUAUUAUUUACUGAGUUUAUAUCGCCUUAUACCCAGGGGUCUCAGGGCAAUUCACAGAAUAAAAUCAAGAUAUAAAACCAUAAAAUAACUAAUAAAGAUAAAAACAACAAUCCAAUAGCCCCCCUCCCCCCAAAAAACUCCACAUUUUUAAAGGGCAUAGGAGGUAAAUCAGAUCAACCAAAAGCCCUGGUUAAAAAGGAACAUUUUUGCCUGGCGCCUAAAAGUGUAUAAAGGGGCCAGGCAAAUUUCCCUGGGGAGAGCGUUCCACAGACGGGGAGCCACCGCAGAGAAGGCCCCGUUCUCAUGUUGCCACCCUCUGGACCUCUCGAGGAGGAGGCACACAAAGAAGGGCCUCAGAAGAUGAUCUCAGGGUCUGGGUAGGUUCAUAUGGAAAGAGGUGGUCCUGGUGGUAUUGUGGUCCUGAGCCAUUUAAGGCUUUAUAGGUCAAAACCAGCACUUUGAAUCGGGCCCAGAAACCAAUGCAGUUGGACCAGGAUUGGUGUAAUAUGCUCAAACUGUCUUGUUCCGGUGAACAACCUGGCUGCUGAAUUCUGCGUCAGCUGAAGAGUACAAGUCUUGGCCUCUGACUUCCUUCCAACAGCCGUCUUUGGUGCACCCUGGACACCAGGCUAGAACACAGAGAAGCAUCCUAGCUCCUUCCAACCUUGCUCUAGCCUCCCAUCAGCUCUAGCCCACACGGUCAGGGUUUGUGGACGAUGGGAAUUGUAGUCCAACAAAAUAUCUGGAGCCUCCGCAGGUUUGCUAGAGAAAUGCCUACAACUUGCAGAGCGAAAAGGGGCUGAGCAUCCUUGCAACGUAUUCCCCUGUCCUUUUGAGGUUGAUUCCCUCCUCCCCUUCAGAGCCUGGUUGCGGGGGGCAACGAAAGGAGGAUCAUUUUGAUGGCUCGGGAGCAGAGGGACAGCCCUCGGGGGCAACCGUUUGUUUGCCAGAUAAACAGGCUUGAUGGCGACACUCUGGAUAUGUAUAGGGUGGUGAAUAAUUUGCUUCACUCGGGCCAGACAUCCUUCGAGGAAUUGGCGAAUUUUUCAUUCCGGGGGAAAGUGUUCGGGUCAUUAAUUGCAGUUUGCCACAGGUCUGAGCCACGGUUUGUGUUUUUCUUCCUACCCAUCUUAAAAAAACAACAAGCAACUCUCUCUCUCUCUCUCUCUCUCUCUCUCUCUCUCUCUCAACACAAUAUGCCUUUUUGCCUUUUCAAAGCCAGGCUCCAUCUGCAUCACAAACUCUGAGGAAAAGACAUCAGGUUGUUUCAAACAAAUAAAACCUUUCGCACAGCAUCUCCUCCCUCUUGUAGAGGUGAGUGGCCUAUGAUCAGGGGACGGGAAGCUUCUUUGUUUUUGUCCCAAGGGCCAAAUUCCCUUCUGAGCAACCUUUCAGGGACCACAUGCCAGUCGUGGGCAGGGCCAGAGACAAAAUUGGAUGUGCAAUGGAUGUGACCUAACAAGGAGAAAGAAAACAAGGGGGGGGGAGAGAAUGUAAACCUUAAAGCAGAGGUUUUCAACCUUUUUGGGUCCAUGGCUCCCUUGACCAACUACGUUCUUUCUGUGGCACAACUGUGGGGCUCAGGAGCCCAGUUAUGUCAUCCCUUGCCUGCAGAGCUGGCAUCCUGUCACCCUUUUUCGAACACCCUCCCUUGUGGAGUGUUCCCUCAGCCAUUUUUCCCUCUCCUUGGGAGUGUUCUGGGCAGCCACCAUAGUUGCCCCUGGUCUCUGAGCUGCCCCCCCCGCCCCAAAGAGAGGUGCCUCCUCACACUGCCCCACAGGGGCGUGGGAAGGACCCCCUGGCCAGCCCCAGAGGCACCAUUCACCUGGGGACUUUGUAGCCAGGGCUACUGCAACAAACAGCUAUGCAAGCCUUUGGGAGGCAGAGGCGCAAGAGGGCAUCAGAGGAGGGAGGGAAGGAAAGAGGGACAGAGGCCAGUGUUGCUCGUGGCACCCCUGACCACCAUUCAAGGCACCCCAGAGUGCCAGGGCACACUUGUUGAAAACCACUGACAUAGAGCGUCACAGCCUGGAAUGAUAACAGUACUAAUAUACAGUGGUACCUCAGGUUACAGACGCGUCAGGUUACAGACUCCACUAACCCAGAAAUAGUAUCUUGGGUUAAGAACUUUGCUUCAGGAUGAGAACAGAAAUCGUGCAGCAACAGCAGGAGGCCCCAUUAGCUAAAGUGGUACCUCAGGUUAAGAAAAGUUUCAGGUUAAGAACGGACCUCCAGAACGAAUUAACUUCUUAACCCGAGGUACCACUGUAGAGCACAACUCCACAAUUCUAUGAUUCUGGGAAAGAUUCCCUGUACGAAUCAUAAAGGUAAGUAGAAAGGUAUUCCAUACCUGUGAGAAGGAAUAAUUAUUGAGAAGAAGUGUUCUAUAAAGACUUAGAUGAGCUGUACAUUUGCUUACACUGUUAUAUUUUAUAUGUUUUUAACAUUUGCUUUUUCAGUCCUUGGUUCUGUUAAUUUUCACAAGCCGCCUUGAAUCCCGGUUUCGGGGGACACAGCAGGAUGCAAAUAAAUAAGAUGGUAAUAGUCAGGAAUUCUCCUAGACUACAUGGAAAGGCAGCUCCCUUUUUCUCACACCGACCUGCCUUCCUCACAGGGCAAGUUAUCCAUGUUUGUGUUUGUCGGGGGGAAAGAGAUGCAGCCAUGCCACCUUCAGCUCCUCAGCAGAAUGGCAGAAUAUAAACGUAAUGCAGCGAUAAAAACACACACCGAAAUAAAACCAAGCGCCAGCGUAUAAAACAAAGUACACGGGAAAUAAAAUUAACAGAGAUCGGUGGGGUGGGGUGGGGGGGAGAAGCAAAGGAACAAAACGUCGACAAGAAGCCAGGGAAGCAAGAAAACUCAGGCCCAACUGAAGGCCCCAGUUCAACAAAGAGGUUCUCAGAAUGGGUCACUGCAUCUUUGCUGGGCGCUGAGAGAGGAUACAGGGCUUCUUUUUCCCACUCAAGGCUCACUCCUGUGAGAAGAUUGACCUGAGCUCUGGCUUCUCUCACUUUUUCAUUCUUGGCCAUCGCUGACUCUAGUGGGAGUGAGUUCCACAGUCUAACUUUGCCCUGCAUGAAGAAGGACUUUCUUUUAUCUCCCAACAUUCAGCUUCAUUGGACGUCCACGAGUUCCAGUGUUCAUGAGAGAGGGAGAAAAACUUUUCUCGGUCCACUUUCUCCCUGUCAGGCGUGAUUGUAUAACCUUAUAUAGUCCCAGGUGCCACAACAUUCCUUCAGAGAGGAAGGAAGGGCAGUGGGAAGAGUGCAAGACUCCAGAUUCAAUGCCCAGCAUCUCCAGGUAGGCUUGGCUAUGUCCCCUGCCUGAAACCCUGAAGAGUAGCUGCCAGUCAUUGUAGGCAAACUAGGCUAGAUGAACACAGUUUAAGGCACCUUCCUGAGUUGCUAUGAUGCCCCUCAGUCCUGGCUAUCGGCUUCUUCUCCAGCCCUGAUUGCUCUUCAGGCUUUCCUUGUGCUUUUGGAGUCCUGGCUCAUCUUAGGCUGCUGCCCAUAACCCAAGGACCACUGGAACUGGCCUUGAUCUGGUCUGUUACCUCCUGCAUUGCUAUCAUUCCUUAUAUAAAAGGUAAAGGUAAAGGGACCCCCGACCAUUAGGUCCAGUCGUGGACGACUCUGGGAUUGUGCCGCUCAUCUCGACUAAGCCGCUUCUGGCAAAACAAGAGCAGUGCACAGAAAUGCCAUUUACCUUCCCGCUGGAGUGGUACCUAUUUAUCUACUUGCACCUGACGUGCUUUCGAAUUGCUUCCUUAUAUACGUAAGGCAAAAUGCUUUCAGGGAGUGGGCAGGGACUGCAGAACUCAGUUCCAUACAGCCCUGGGCCUUAUAACACCAGUUCUGAAAGACCUACAUUGGCUCCCAGUACGUUUCCGAGCACAAUUCAAAGUGUUGGUGUUGACCUUUAAAGCCCUAAAUGGUUUCGGCCCAGUAUACCCGAAGAAGCGUCUUCACCCCCAUUGUUCAUCCCAGACACUGAGAUCCAGCUCUGAGGGCCUUCUGGAGGUUGCAGGGAACCAGGCAGAGGGCCUUCUUGGCAGUGGCAUCUGCCCUGUGGAACGUUCUCCCAUCAGAUGUCAAGGAAAUAAACAACUAUCUGACUUUUAGAAGACAUCUGAAGGCAGCCCUGUUUAGGGAAGUUUUUAAUGUUUGAUGUUUUAUUGUGCUUUUAAUAUUCUGUUGGAAGCCGCCCAGAGUAGCUGGGGAAACCCAGCCAGAUGGACAGGGUAUAAAUAUUGUUGUUGUUGUUGUUGUUGUUGUUGUUGUUGUUGUUAUUUCAUGAUGGUAGCAAGGAGGGUGAAAGGGGAGUAGGCGGUAGGGAGAGGGGAGAACAGUGGGAGAGAGAAGGGGCAGGGCAGCAGAAAGAGCAAAUGGGAAAUAUGAGAUGCGAUAGCAAGAGAUGGGGUGACAGAAGGAGAGAGGAAAGAGGUUGGUCUCACCCUGCUUUGGGCCCACACACCAUCACCUCCUUAGAAUCAUAGAAUUGUAAAAAAGAAAAAGAAAAAAAUUGAAGAAUUAGACUUGGAAAGGACCUUUGAGGAUCAUCUAGUCCAACCCCCUGGAACACACGAAGCCUCCCCACAGCUGUACCUGGGUAGGCUCGAACCAUCAACCUUCUGGUUUGUUUGUUUUUCUAUUUUUUAUUUUUUUAAAAAAAUAAAAGGUUCCCUAAAGGUAAAGGGACCCCUGACCAUUAGGUCUAGUUGUGGCCGACUCUGGGGUUGCGGCACUCAUCUCGCUUUACUGGCCGAGGGAGCCGGCGUACAGCUUCCGGGUCAUGUGGCCAGCAUGACUAAGCCGGUUCUGGUGAACCAGAGCAGCGCAUGGAAACACCGUUUACCUUCCCGCCGGAGCGGUACCUAUUUAUCUACUUGCACUUUGACGUGCUUUCGAACUGCUAGGUUGGCAGGAGCAGGGACCGAGCAACGGGAGCUCACCCCAUAGCGGGGAUUCGAACCGCCGACCUUCUGAUCGGCAAGUCCUAGGCUCUGUGGUUUAACCCACAGCACCACCCGCGUCCCUAUCAACCUUCUGGUUAACAGCAAGACGCGCUGACCCACUGCAUGACUGGGUGCUCCCGACUACAGUCUCACGCACUGCCAGUAUGCAACCCCCAUCAGAAACACACACCCCCCCCAAAAAAAAACCCAAUGCGGCCCUCGACGGCCAAACCAAAAGUUCCCGGCCCUCGCUCUACAGAUCGUGAGCCAGUUUCUUCCAGGCAUGGCACACAAUUCUGAGAGUCAGGCAAAAGUGAAGACAGCGCCUGAGCUCUGUGCAGCUGGGGCUGUAAUUCAGUUUAAAUGAGUCUUAUCGCUCCCACGCCUAAAAUCUUUGAAAUAUGCCACAAAGAGGAAACUUAAUGAGCAUCAAGGAAAAUCCUCGGAGGGCCAUAAUAUUCUCCAUGUGUACAAAUCACUGUUUAGGAGAUCUUUGGGCGUGAAAAGUCCUUCUUCACCUACAUCAUUCCUUGGUAUUAGAUGCUCGGGAAAAGAGCACCGAGUGUAUACAGAGAUAUAGAUAUAUAUGUACUUGCCUCUAUUUCAUCAUCUGCUAGGGAUAUGUUCCAUCCAGGCCUAUAAAUAUAAGGCAGGAGGAGAGGGCUUUACUGCCUCCCCAAUCCCUUAAAUAACUUCCUUAAAUUUUGUUUUUAUUAACAGAGACCAUCCAAGAACACAGGAGGCCGUUGCUCCAGAUGUCAUGGGAUGAAGGAGAUGGCGAAGGAAACAGGCUCCUUCCUCCGGCCCUAAAUCUCCACACCUGUCACGCCGACCUCUGAGAGAUGCAUCUCUCUGAAUCCAGGAGCCGGCAUCGCUCCCCAGUGAGGGGAAAUACAGCACCUUUCAGGGACGGAGCCUCUGCUAGGAGCCCCCUGAAUAUAUUUUUUUCCCUUCCCCACACGCGGAACGCAAGGAGCGGAGAAAAAUCGCACGAGUUGCAAAUAAAUCACAAGACCUCUCGGAAUGAAGACGUUCAGCAGCCUGAGAGCAGCUCUACAGGCAGAGUAACAUUUGGCUCCCCAGGACCAAAAUAUGGGAGGCAGCGAAUGUCAGUCAGCUUUGGGGUUUAAUCGAGAAUCAGUGGGGAAAGGGUAGUUGUAGAGAGUGCCUACUGGCCAGGACCUGUGACGUCGUUUUUUCCAUAAAAUGUCGAUGCCAUUUUCGGGAAGACCGUGAACGACUGUAUAAACUUUAACAUGUAACUUUUUAUUGUGCACAUUUAUUUAUUCAUAAAAAAUAUUUUUGUUUUGUUUUGCUGCAUAUAACAAUACAAAUGUUUGAGAGAUACAGAGACGAACAAUGGCUUGCCUGCUUGACAUCUUAUGGUCCGCAACUUAAGGAAGAAAAUGGUGCAGAGUGGAGAAACGGCUGUUGCAGAGAGAUAAAAACAAUGCUUCAAAUAAUAAGAUCAUGAUUCCAUGGAAGCACAACGGAGAGGUCAGUAAUCAGUCCUGGAAUGCCGUCAAAUCCAGCUGCAUAAAAAGAUGGAAACCCCACCAGAUAUUCAAAGAGAUGAAAAAGAAUAAGAACUGAAAUGGGGAUUUGACUUGCUGGAUGUUUGUUCCAUGAAUUGAGAGGGAAAGGCUUUCUUGACUGCUGAACAACUCACUGCAAUUGUCUUUUUGUAAAUAGUCUCAGCCUUGUAUACCUGAAGGAGCAUCUCCAUCCCCAUCGUUCAGCCCAGACACUGAGGUCCAGCUCCGAGGGCCUUCUGGCGGGUCCCUCACUGUGAGAAGUGAAGCUACAGGGAACCAGGCAGAAGGCCUUCUCGGUAGUGGCGCCCACCCUGUGGAAUGCCCUCCCAUCAGAUGUCAAGGAAAUAAACAACUAUCUGACAUUUAGAAGACAUCUGAAGGCAGCCCUGUUUAGGGAAGUUGUUAAUGUUUGGUGUUUUAUCAUGUUUUUAAUAUUCUGUUGGGAGCCGCCCAGAGGGGCUGGGGAAACCCAGCCAGAUGGGUGGGGUAUAAAUUGUUGUUGUUUUCAGAUUUUCAAUAGUCUAGCUCUUUAUAGCCAAUGUGGCGCUCUCCAGACAGCACCUCCCAUCAUCCCUGGCCAUUGGCCAUGCUGGCUAAGACUCAUGGGAGGUGGAAUCCAACAAUGUCUGGCAGAGAUCAGGACUUGUCACAGUGCCAGAAUGUACUGCUUGAAAGAGGACCCCACCACGGAAAGCAGCAUGAAAGAGAACCAGUGGGAGUCAGGGCAGUGGUGAGGGGGAACCCCUGAGAUAAACACCCGUGGUGCCACACAAGAAACUUACGAAACCCAGGGGCUUAAUGCUUCUCAACCGGACUCAUCUCUCUGGACUCUCCACAAUUACCACAGGCGUACCAUGUUAGUGUUGGGAUAGAGAGAUGUGAGUGGAGGCUGUGCUAUAAACCUCUGGCAUUUGUGUGGCUGAAAUAUAGCCUACGAAAAAUCACGAUAUGGAAUUACGAAAAACAUUGGUGAUGAUGAGAGGCAGGACUAUGAUGUUGAAAGCGCUUCGGAAUUCAGACCGUGGGAAGCCAAAACCAAAAAAAUUAUUACAAUUUGGAAGACAAUUGGACUUUUUUAAAUUUUAGUUGUUGUUUUUUAUUGGAUUUGAUUUGAUAUGUUAAUUGGAUGUUCUUAUUGGAAAAUUAAUAAACGCUUUAAAAAAAAAAGAAAUAUAGCCUACGAAACAAAAGUAAAGGUUGAACCUGUUGCCCCCCCCCCCCAUGUUUUGCCUCUGGCCCCACCCACCACUGGCACUUGCUGGCAUCGACAAUGGAGGAGUGUGCCUUUGGUCCAACCGUUAGAGAGUUACAGCGCCUGCUGUGGCUGUAGAGACCAGUAGAGGAGAGACAUGUUUCGUUGCAGCUGGGGCAGAUGAAUGGGGCCAAGUUCUGCCAAUGCAGUAGGUUCCUGAAAGUUUACCGUCCAUCUUUUAAGUGAGGCAAAAGAGUCGUCUAGGAGUCAAGGAUCCUAAGACUGGCAGGGGAGCUGUCCAGCAGAC